AAUCCUGCCUUCCACCUCCACACCCAGCGACGGCUCCACCUCCGCCGCCGGCCACUGCUCCGCCUCCGUCGCAGGCUCAACCUCGCCCCUCCGCCUCAACCGCUGGGCCACUUCCUCCACAUCCCCCAUUAGCCUCCACCGCCCCCUUACCACGCUGCUCCCUCCCGCCAGCAUCCGACGACCGCGACCCCAGCUCCACCACCGGUCACGACCCCGCCUUACUACCUCCGCUGCCGGCCAGCACCCCAUCUUCAUCUCCCCCUCCCGCAUCCGGUAGAGCUACGCCCCCCUCCCCCUUCCUCUCCACCUUCACCAAACCCUAGACCAAGCAGUCGAUUCCUCCGGCACCAUACAGUCGCCGCUUCAAGUACCUCUCCGGCACCACAGAGUCGCUGCUUCAAGGACAUCGUCAGCGAAGACACGUCGACACACAAGAUGGAGAUCUCUCAAAAGAACAAAGCUAACCGUGCUCAAGUUAAGUUCCAUCAAACAACUGGUUCGCGCAGCUAUGCUGUGCAUUGUGAUAAUUUGGGAGAAAAAUACAAAGAUGAAGAACCCAAUGCAUUGGAUUUGUUCAAGGAGUGCCACUACAGCAACAAGAAGAAAGGGUACAUAGACACCGUAGAAUCUGCAAUUGUAAGUCAGGGUUCGAAGUGUGCUAACCAUAGCAGAAUGCUUACUUUUUUUCAAUAGAUCCAGUAGUACAAUAAUCAAUAAUUAUAAAAUCAGCAUAAAGAGAGGUAGAAGAAUAAUUUGACCUUGAAACAAUGAAGCAUGUAUCACUUUAAUAAAACGACUAGAUAUUUUCUGAGUAUUCUUUGCUUCUUACACGAAUAUGAUCCGCUUGGCAACCGUUGAAUGUUUUAUGAAACCUUCACAUCUUAUCUAUAAAGACAACAAUUCAUACAUGGGUUCGAUUUAUUCUAUCCAUAUUUUGGGCAGUUUUCAUGAUGGUGUAUUGUGUAUGCCCAUGCUAUAUUUGUUUCCAUGAUUUCUUAGAAGAUUACUUGAACUUAAUCUUUUGCACAAUUAGAUGUCAUCACCUGUACAUCACAUACAUACAUGUGAUCAAACCAAGUGAGAUCAACUAUUUGCACAGGCGGAUCUAUGUGAGGGAAGAAAUGUGCCAUGGCCCACCCUGCCAAAAAUAAAAUAAAUGUACUGAUGCUCAGUCCACUCCGUGAGCAACAUGCAUGAGAUACUUUUCUUCUUGUCAGCCUGAAUGCACAAGGGUCUUUACUGUUGUUCAUAGCCUGAAUGCACAACCCAGUCUACGAGCAGAGACCAGCACGCCUCACAUUUAACAGUGCAUCAUCUAAAAUUCACAAUAGCAAUUUUCCUAUAGGCUACAG